rnacentral:lncRNA from 1 species
GGAGAAUGCCUAGAAUCUGCAGAGCUGUUGUAAUAGCUGGUACAACUCUGAUGUGAAGCCUGAGGAACAGGAGGAAGGGAAGCAUGGCAGGCAGGUACAGGGAGAUUCUGGAUAUGACUUUGACAUCUGCCUCACCUCAGUGCAGAAGAGAGCAAUUCCAAUACUCUGCACAGUGCUAGAUGUCAUUGAUCAAAUGCAGCUGCAGUACUAAGGAUUUUGCACUUUGGUGAGUGGCACUUUGGGGGCCUAACGUCAAUAAAGUAGAAACUGCUGUCAAGUAGGAUGAGAUCCAGAUGAAGAUCUGGAGGUGCUCGUAUGAUAUCCCACCACCUCCGAUAAGCCCUGGCCAUUCUUUCUACAGCAACAUCAGUGAGGAUCACAGACAUGAAGACCUCACAGAAGAACAGCUAGUACCCUGUUAAAGUCUGAGGGACAUUACUGCCAGAGUUCUGCCCUUUUGGAUAGAAUUAAUAGUUCCUCAGAUUAAGGAAGGGAACUGGACACUAACUGUGGUCCACAGAACAGCCUUCAGGGAAUUGUCAAACAUAGAGAGGGUUGCUCUGAAGAAGCUGCCAUAGAGCUUAGUCUGCAGACUAGUAUUCUUGUUGUUUAUGAAUUGAAUUGGGAGAAGUCCUUCAAACAUAUGCAGUACCUAGGAAACAAGGAGGCCAUGUAUGAAGCCAUACAAGCUGUAACUGUCAAGGGCAUGGUCAAGGAGUGA